UGGCGGACGGGUGAGUAACGCGUGGGUAACCUGCCUCAUACAGGGGGAUAACAGUUAGAAAUGACUGCUAAUACCGCAUAAGACCACAGCACCGCAUGGUGCAGGGGUAAAAACUCCGGUGGUAUGAGAUGGACCCGCGUCUGAUUAGGUAGUUGGUGGGGUAACGGCCUACCAAGCCGACGAUCAGUAGCCGACCUGAGAGGGUGACCGGCCACAUUGGGACUGAGACACGGUCCAG
rnacentral:rRNA from 1 species